rnacentral:rRNA from 1 species
AGUGAACGCUGGCGGUAGGCCUAACACAUGCAAGUCGAACGGCAGCACAGUAAGAGCUUGCUCUUACGGGUGGCGAGUGGCGGACGGGUGAGGAAUACAUCGGAAUCUACUUUUUCGUGGGGGAUAACGUAGGGAAACUUACGCUAAUACCGCAUACGACCUACGGGUGAAAGCAGGGGAUCUUCGGACCUUGCGCGAUUGAAUGAGCCGAUGUCGGAUUAGCUAGUUGGCGGGGUAAAGGCCCACCAAGGCGACGAUCCGUAGCUGGUCUGACAGGAUGACAGGCCACACGGGAAGGGAGACACGGCCCGGACUCCUGGGGGGGGCAGCAGUAGGGAAUAUGGCGCAAGGGGGGAAGGCCUGACAGAGCAACACCGGGGGAGGAAUGAGGGACUUCGGAUGGUAAAGCCUUGUUAUGAGGAAAGAAAAAAAGUGUAUGAAACCGGGCAGAUCUUGACGGUACCUAAAAAAAAAGCCCCGGCUAACUCCGUG